rnacentral:rRNA from 1 species
CCUACGGGUGGCUGCAGUGAGGAAUAUUGGUCAAUGGGCGUAAGUCUGAACCAGCCAAGUCGCGUGAGGGAUGAAGGUUCUAUGGAUCGUAAACCUCUUUUAUAAGGGAAUAAAGUGUGGGACGUGUCCUAUUUUGUAUGUACCUUAUGAAUAAGGAUCGGCUAACUCCGUGCCAGCAGCCGCGGUAAUACGGAGGAUCCGAGCGUUAUCCGGAUUUAUUGGGUUUAAAGGGUGCGUAGGCGGCCUUUUAAGUCAGCGGUGAAAGUCUGUGGCUCAACCAUAGAAUUGCCGUUGAAACUGGGGGGCUUGAGUAUGUUUGAGGCAGGCGGAAUGCGUGGUGUAGAGGUGAAAUUCGUAGAUAUUGGGUAGAACACCGGUGGCGAAGGCGGCUAUCUGGCCAUUUACUGACGCUGAGGCUCGAAAGCAUGGGGAUCAAACAGGAUUAGAUACCCGAGUAGUC